rnacentral:rRNA from 1 species
UACAGAGGUCCCGAGCGUUGUUCGGAUUCAUUGGGUCGUAAAGGGCGCGUAGGUCGGCUUGUACAGUCGGAAUUGUGAAAUUCCUGGGCUUAACCUGGGGGCUGCAUACGAUACGUAUGGGCUUGAGUGCGGAAUGAGGGUCGUGGAAUUCCCAUGUAGGAGGUGAAAUUCGUAGAUAUUGGGUAAGAACACCGGUGGCGAAGGCGGCGACCUGGUCCGUGACUGACGCUGAGGCGCGAAAGCGUGGGGAGCAAACAGGA